UAGGGAAUAUUGCAAAAUGGGCGAAAGCCCGAUGCAGCAACGCCGCGUGGGCGAUGAAGGCCUUCGGGUCGUAAAGCCCUUUUUGAGGGGAUGAGGAAGGACAGUACCCUCAGAAUAAGCCUCGGCUAACUACGUGCCAGCAGCCGCGGUAAAACGUAGGAGGCGAGCGUUAUCCGGAUUUACUGGGCGUAAAGCGCGUGCAGGCGGAUUGGAGAGUUGGAUGUGAAAGCUCCCGGCUUAACUGGGAGAGGUCGUUCAAUACUUCCAGUCCUGAGUGCAGUAGAGGGUAGUGGAAUUCCGGGUGUAGUGGUGAAAUGCGUAGAUAUCCGGAGGAACACCAGUGGCGAAAGCGGCUUCCUGGACUGUAACUGACGCUCAGACGCGAAAGCUAGGGUAGCAAACG
rnacentral:rRNA from 1 species